UCGAACGGAGAAUUGCUAGCUUGCUAAUAAUUCUCUAGUGGCGCACGGGUGAGUAACACGUGAGUACCUGCCCCCAAGAGUGGGAUAGCCCCGGGAAACUGGGAUUAAUACCGCAUAAAGCAAUAAAGCAGCAAUGCGCUUGGGGAUGGGCUCGCGUCCUAUUAGUUAGUUGGUGAGGUAACGGCUCACCAAGGCGAUGACGGGUAGCCGGUCUGAGAGGAUGUCCGGCCACACUGGAACUGAGACACGGUCCAGACACCUACGGGUGGCAGCAGUCGAGAAUCAUUCACAAUGGGGGAAACCCUGAUGGUGCGACGCCGCGUGGGGGAUAAGGUCUUCGGAUUGUAAACCCCUGUCAUGUGGGACAUUAAAAGAUAGUACCACAAGAGGAAGAGACGGCUAACUCUGUGCCAGCAGCCGCGGUAAUACCGAGGUCUCAAGCGUUGUUCGGAAUCACUGGGCGUAAAGCGUGCGUAGGCGGUUUCGUAAGUCGUGUGUGAAAGGCGGGGGCUCAACCCCCGGACUGCACAUGAUACUGCGAGACUAGAGUAAUGGAGGGGGAACCGGAAUUCUCGGUGUAGCAGUGAAAUGCGUAGAUAUCGAGAGGAACACUCGUGGCGAAGGCGGGUUCCUGGACAUUAACUGACGCUGAGGCACGAAGGCCAGGGGAGCGAAAGGGAUUAGAUACCCCUGUAGUCCUGGC
rnacentral:rRNA from 1 species